rnacentral:lncRNA from 1 species
UUUUUUUUUUUUUUUUUUUUUUUGGAAACCCGCUAUUAAAAUUUCCCUCAGAUACGUUGAAACAAUUUAUACACACAUCCUCACACUUGGCUAUUUUUCCUCCAUAGACUCUGGUCUUUAUUCUCAAUGGCCUAGAAGCCACCACCUUUUCUUGAAUGCUACUGAAAAUCUCUGAAUUAUCUAAUUCAGAAUCAUAGGAUAUUCAGUAAAUAUACCUUGCAAGUAUUUACUAAGUAGCAACACUAUGUUACACCAGCUCUGCUUUAGCCCAGUGCUUCCUCAAUAGUUUCUAAAAGUUCAAAUAAACAAGGCUUAAUGGGGUUUUGAUUUUACACCAAGAUGUCUCAGAGACUUUAGGAUACUGACAAGAGAACCUUUUUUCCCUUAAGAAUACCUGGAAAUGUUUUACUGAACAUUAAAUUUUAUUUGUAUAAUGAUUAUUUUUUAAGCAUCAGUUUAAUUCCCAGUCUUGAAAGCUGGGGAUAAAGCGAUGAUUGAAACAGACACAGCUUCUGUCUAUGGGAAGUUUACCCACCAGAAUAGACUUUUUCAGAGGUUUCUUCAUCUCAGAUUUAAUAUAGUUGAGGGGAAGAUGAUUAAAGGAUCUAGGCAUUGCUUUAAGGGCAGAGACAUGAAAACUUACCCAGAAGACUCAGAAAUGAUCUCUAAGGAAGAAAUAAAGAAGAUUGAACUAAUGACUUUCUGGAGUUUUGGCCCUCCAGGAUAAGAAGUAAAUAUAAUUCUGUAUUUAUUUUUUCAAAGACUCAAUAAAGAAGCUAGAAUGGGAGUUCCCAUUGUGGCUUAGCAGUAACAAACACAACUAGUGUCCAUAAAGACAUAAGUUCAAUCCCUGGCCUCCCUCAGCUGGUUAAGGAUCCAGCGUUGCUGUGACCCACAGCAUACAUCGUAGACAUGGCUCAGAUCUGGCGUUGCUGUCGCUGUGGCAUAGGCUGGCAGCUGUGGCUCCAAUUCAACCCCUAGCAUGGGAACUUCCAUUUGCCACAGUUAUGGCCCUAAAAAGACAAAAAAAGAAGAAGAAAAAGAAGUUGGAAUGUCAAAAGUAAGACAACUCAAUAAUCAGCAGGUUGUGUGUCUGAGCAGUGAGGAAACAGGUUGAUGUUAAUUACUCCAAGAUCACAACAAACAAGAGGUAUCAUGUACAAUUCCACAGAACUUAUCAAACCAAACAGGAAAUCCAGAGAACAUCAAAUGGUAACAGAAUAGUUUCUUUACCCCUGUACAUCUGCUUCUUAACAGUAAAUUUUAAUUAGCAACCUAGGUUCAACUGUCUAUUUGGGAAUUAGUCUCUUUCACCAAAUUUACAAAGAGCAGGGAUGGUUUCUUGGAACAAGCACAUCCAUAAAGCUGAAGUUUAUAGGGUGAUGUCAAUUUCACUGAUGAGGAAAAGGCCCAGUUGACAAGGUAAACUGAAAGCAAGUUCCCAUGGUUGCCAAGUCCUUCUAACUCUGAUGACUCCUUCCUGUUCUACUGAGUCACUCCCAACUCCCAACCCCCACCCCAGAUGUGCUUAAAUCUCCUGAUAUAUUUUUAGGUACUUGUUUUGACACUCAGGCUUUUUUUGGUUGUCAACUCCUAAUUCGCAUUAUCCUGACUUUUUUUUUUUAGUUCUAUGAAAUGAAUCCCUGAGACAGAGCAAGAAGAUCAACUUUAUUCAGCAAUCAAUAAUGCAAUGACUUCUAUUUCCCAUUAACGACUUCAGAAAAACCAUUUCUAUCCUUUUCCACCCACCAAUACAUGUAUUAUAGGAAAUGAAGUAGCAGUUAAGAUCUUAUUGUUUUAAAUACUAUUUGAAGCCAAGAUAGGCUCAAUCAUUGAACUUUCUUGUAAACCCUUAAAAACACUUGCUUUCUUAUAUACUUGUGAUAUAUAAUCUUAGGAAGGAUAAAUUAUUAGUUAGGUAAAACUGUGCACCGAAAUAGAUAAAUAUUGCUGAAUAUAAUACCAAGUAAAUUAAUUGCACACCUUUCCCUUUAAAAGAACCUCAUAAAAAAAUUCAAAGUCCAAGGGUAUGUUCUAUUUAAGGUUCAAACAUAAAAUAGUUAAAAAUCUUAUAAGUUUCAUGAACCUAUACAAAUAUUUUCUCUAAUUACAUAUCUAUUCAUAAACAAAAUGUACACCCAUCCAAUCACCCUCUUAAAAGGUUUAAGGACACUUAAACUGUAAGUUCAGGGGGAAAGAAAAGUAAAGAGAGACUUGAUUCCUGUCUACCUUAAGUAUCUCAGACUAUCAUGGUCCAGAAUGGUCUAUUUUAAGAAAAAAGCACUUCCUGCUAUCUGCUCUAAAUUAGGUUAAGUUUAUUUCCACAGAUCUCAUCCUCAACCCAUCACCUGAGCCCUGCUGACAGACCGUGUGAGCUGAGAUCAUCAGUAUCUCUCAAGAUGUAGUCCAAUUUAAGACGUCCUUUUUUUACUGGCAUCCCUAACUUUUAAAAUAUUUUGUGUCACAAACUACAGUUAAUUCUAAAACCUUUCUAGAGGAAGACAUGGUAUAGGUCAGAUCUCAAGCAAGAAGCGGCUGCCCAGGAGCCAGAUUCCACAUAUAGAUGUGUGCUCUAUGGCUAGCAUAAUGUUCCUUAGAAUUCGGAUCUAGUUGCCAACAUAGACAGAUAUAGACAUUUCAUAUUAAAAUCCAGAUUCUGGAUUCUCCUGAAAAAUCUGAAAGUCUGACCAAAUGUCAAGUCCACUUCCUUACACGGCAACAACUGGUUAGAACCAACCAGCAGCUGCCUAUUCAGGAAACAGCACGCAUUCUACAGUUGGCCACAGUCCCCUCCAUUCCCUUUUACUUAUUAACAGCAUUGACAUUUUACUACUUCUGGCCAUAUAAAAGAUCUUCAAUAAAAAUUUGUUCUCUUCAUCAUCUACCUAAGUCCAUCACCAAAUCCUAUCAAUUCUACCUCAAAAAUUUGUCUGUUUCUUGUCUCCACUUCUACUAUCACAAUCCUAUUGCACCAACAUGACUUGCUUAAGCUGUGGCAUACCCUCCUAAAGCAUCUCCCUUUUCUCAUCCUCCUUCAUUCUAUUUCUCACAUAUCAGCCAAAUCUUUUAUUUAUUUAUUUAUUUUUUUUUUGCUUUUUAUGGUUGCACCCACAGCAUAUGGAGGUUCCCAGGCUAGGGGUUGAAUUGGAACUGUGGCUGCCAGCCACAGCCACAGCCACAGCCACAGCAACGCCAGAUCUGAGCUAUAUCUGAAACCUACACCACAGCUCAUGGCAACGCUGAAUCCUUAACUCACAGAGCAAGGUCAGGGAUUGAACCCGCUGGUUCCUGGUCAGAUGCAUUUCCUCUGUGUCAUGACAGGAACUCCCAGCCAAACUAUUUUAAGUAACAAUUCUGAUCACAAAAUAUCUCCCCUUACCCACUUAAAACCUUUCAGAGCUUCCCAGUGCUCUCUAGACAAGGGUCAAAGUCCUUCCCAUAGCCUAAGCCAUAUAGGUUCAGAUUCCAAUGUCCUUUCUUGCCACUUUAUUCACUGACUCUGCUUGGGUCAUCUUUUUGUAGCUCAAAUGUAUCAAGUCCCUUCCUAUCUCAGAGCCUUCACACAUGCUGUUCUCUUUGCAGGACUAAUUCCUAUUAGUCAUUUAGAUCACAGCAUCCAACAGCAUACCCUCCACAACUCAGGUCUCUCAGCUAUGUUGUCUCAAAGCAUAAUACUUUUUCUUUUAUGCUAUGAAAGACAGGGUAUUUUUUAUAUAAGGGAAGCUGACCUUAUCUGCCCUGCAAGGACUGUCUGAAUGUCUCUCUUAUUUAGGCUAAAUACAGUAACCAUGUAGCCUGAAUCCUCCAGGUGAGGUGUAAGAAAGCCUUUUAUAACCCCGUCAAAGUUGCCCCUCCUCAGAUCCUUGGUUUGCAAAAAAUAGAAACUAUGAAGAAGAGACUCGCUAUGCAGAAAGGAUUCUGGAGUCUUUAGGGAAGUAUGUCAUUGACACCCCAGUCAUUAUGUCCAGGAUUCAGAGUAAGUGAGAUCUGUGGGAGGAGAUGAAUAUGGUUACAAAUAAGACAAGAGUUUCCAAGAGUAAAGUAAUUAUUACCUUCAAGAUAGGAGGGAAUCCAGGUUGGGGAUUGAGACUCAAGACCAGUGACCCAGGAGCCAUGGAGAAGUCUAUGUGCACAAAGCAUGUGGGUAAGGCAAGAAACUCCCAGAGACCCUUCCAUGCCAAAUGGACCUGUACAAUGGAGCAAAACACUGUGCAUGGAAUGGGGCUGUAACUCCUGAGGAGGUCCAUGUGUCCUAGUAGGAUUCCCCAGAGCAAACAUUGAGACUAGGAUUUGGGAGCAGGUGGUUCAUUUAGAAGGUAUUUCCAGGAAGUACUGAAGGGAGAGAUUGGUACUAAGGCAUGAAAGGAAGCAAGUGAAGGAAGGAAGUGAAGGAAAUCAACAUAGGGUACAUUUUCAAGGAGGUUUCUGCUAUGGCCGGCUGAACUCAGUCCUGCUGAAGGAGCUCUGAGAGACGGUGUAGAGCCUAUCUCAAGGUACCCCUCUGUGAAGGCAAGGUAUUCAUUCAUCACUGGUGGAGAGCAGCUCCCCAGGCACUUUCAGUCUAUGCUACAUGAAGGCCAUGAGAAAGCCCUCAUGUUCCUACAGGUCGUGAGUAUUGAGAUGUGGGUGGGGCAUCAAUGGCAUCUGCUACACAGGCCUGGCACACCUGUGGCUGAGCUUGCCCACUGGAUGACUGGAUUGGCCUUCCCCUGUAAGAUCAUAUAGUGGGGACCAUAGAGGAAGCUGCAGUAUUUUUCACCUGAGAAACAUCAGCUUCAACAGUAACAUCUUGUGGCACAAAGAUGCAAUCACGUGUAGGUACAAUUGUUGAACAAAACAUUUCUGGGCUUGGGUACAGGAUCUAUACUCAUUUCCCUCUUACUUUAGGGCAGUGUAAUUUGGGGGAAGGAGUCAGGAAGGGAGAUAGGGAGAAGUAGAAAGAGAUGGGCAGACUACUAGUGGAAAAACCUGGUACUUCCAGCUAAACUAGCAGGUGAGUUCUGGCAUUUUUGGUUUAAUUUUGAUAAAUGAAACUUGAAGCAAGGUUUUUGGGUAAUCCAUAUAAGACCCCAAAGCACCUCCACAUAUUAUAAUUCCAUAUGAAUUUGUGUGAUUAUUUUUUAGAGUCUCUCUUCCCUUCUACUUUAAAUCUUUACACUGUAUCCUGGGUCUUAACAUUUGUUCUAAUAUUUGUGGGGCCCAAGCCAAGAGUACAGAUAGAGGCCCAAGUACCAUAUGUCUAUGUAUAAAUCGAGGUAACAAACUGGUAAAUAAAAUACAUUCUAUCUUCCUAUCUUGACAAAUAUAAAGAUGUAGAAGGUGAGGUUUGAAUCCUGAACUUAGAAUUUCUGGACACUUCAGGGCUCUGGACAAAACAUGGUGGCAAAAGGCAGCCAUCCCUUAGCCAAUAUCCUUCUCUCCCCACUCUUGGCUCAAACAUACCCCAGGGGGCUCACACCUGUGAACUCUGCAGCCUGCACACCAAGUUAGCUCUUUCUAUACCAGGCGCCAGCAAACAUUUUCUAAAAAAACAAACAGUAAAUAUUUUACACUUUGUGAGCCAUUUGGUCUCUGUGCUAACUACUCAUUGUGCCAUUUUAACACAAAAGCAGCCACAGACAAUUUGUAACCAAAUGAGUGUGGGUGUGUUCCAAUAAAACUUUAUUUACAAAAACAGAUGUUAGGUGAAUUUAGCCCCAAAGCAGUAGUUUGUUGACACUUGGCUCACAAAUAUGUGCCCCUCAGCAACCCGAGGCCUACUGGUAUACAUAAUGAUAGCAUGGUUUGUCCUCACAAGGGCAGACCUGGCAGUGAAGCCCAAGCAGACCUUGGAAGACUACUCAGGGUCAAUUUAGGCAAGGAGGUCCUAGGCUUGUGGGUAGGCAGAGGGGACUUGGGAAGGGCAGGCACAGGCUCCAGAUAAGAACCUCCACUUGGGCCUGCAGAACUCUCCCCAUGGGAAAGGUACAUUCAGAUGAUGGCCGGAGUGGGCCUUCUAAAGCCUCAGGCCCUGUGUAGGCGCUUUUCUUGUCCAGGUCUAAGGGAACACAGAUAAUACGUAAAACAAUUUUUGAAUAUUUGAAAAAACAUAGUUAACAUUACGAUAUUUUCAUCAUAGGGUUGAAAUCACUUCCAUGGCAGUGAAUGCGAUAAUCUUGUAAUUGUAGCCAGAGAGGUGAAACAUACAACACGGAAUCUGAGCAGUGUCUGUGACCUACACCACAGCUCACGAUGACACCGGAUCCUUAACCCACUGAGCAAGGCCAGGGAUCAAACCCGAAACCUCAUGGUUCUUAGUCAGAUUCGUUAACCACUGAGUCACGACGGGAACUCCUCCAAUUUAUUUAUUUAUUUAUUUAUUUAUUUAUUUAUUUAUUUAUCUUUUUACCAUUUCUUGGGCUGCUCCCAUGGCACAUGGAGGUUCC